rnacentral:lncRNA from 1 species
CUGGGCUUGAGCGACCUCCCCACCUUAGCCUCCUGAGUAGCUGAGACUACAGCACUGUCCUAGGUACUGUGGGGACCAAAACAUUCAGACCUGCUUCUAAGGAGUGCAGUCCAUGGAAGAGUCAGAAUAACAAAUCAACAUUUGUACUACACCAGACCAGCUCUCUUCUAAGGUUGCUAUGACUUCCCAGCAGCAUUCUAAUAUAUGCAUUCUUCAUAACAACUGUGUGAAACAUAUUAAUAUCCUCAUUGUUAACGAUGAAGAAACUAAAUCUCAGGAAGAAAAACUAAGUGAAGACAAAAGAAGGAUUUGAACUGAGGUUUGUCAGACUCUCGGGACCA